rnacentral:lncRNA from 10 species
UACGUUCUGUCCUCCUGCAGCCAUCUAAAAUCAGCCAGAAAGGUUUAGGAUCCCAUUUCCUGUUCUUGCAUCGGCUGUCCAAGCUGCUGUUCCUCUCUCCGCAGUAAGAGGGUGUUUCUCUCCCUGUUCAAGAGGAGCACCAACACUUGAGGACAGUAUCAUCCCUAGACCUUGGCAAGAGAGACCACUGAGUGAGGCAUCCAUGGAACCCAAGGAAGAGGCCUACGAAGAACCUGCAGUCACCUUCUAGACCAUUCUCCCUCACCAAACUGUCCCCUCCAGAGAGCUGAGGACUGGAUCUUCCCAUGCUGACACCUCCAGUGGGAAAGAAAAUUCUAGAUUCAGCUCUGGGUGUCCAAGUCAUUAUGAAGGCAUAUUUGUCAAGGUGGAAGAAAAGGACAUAUUCUAUUUAGCAGUUUGUAAGUUUGAUCGAUAACUUUAAAAUAUUUGGACCUAU